ACCUGCACUACUUUGACGUUACCUACAGAAGAAGCACCGGCUAACUCCGUGCCAGCAGCCGCGGUAAUACGGAGGGUGCGAGCGUUAAUCGGAAUUACUGGGCGUAAAGCGCAUGCAGGCGGCCUGUUAAGUCAGAUGUGAAAGACCCGGGGCGUUAACCUCGGAAUUGCAUUUGAAACUGGCAGGCUAGAGUCUUGUAGAGGGGGGUAGGAAUUUCAGGUGUAGCGGUGAAAUGCGUAGAGAUCUGAAGGAAUACCAGUGGCGAAGGCGGCCCCCUCGGACAAAGACUGACGCUCAGAUGCGAAAGCGUGGGGAGCAAACAGGAUUAGAUACCCUGGUAG
rnacentral:rRNA from 1 species